rnacentral:pre_miRNA from 1 species
AUCCGUGAUGUUCACCAUUCGACUGGCUGACACAGAAUACAAUUUAAAAUUCUGUGUCUGCCAGUCGAAUGGUGAACAUCACGGAU